rnacentral:rRNA from 1 species
UGUUUGGGAAUGCAGCUCAAAGUGGGUGGUAAAUUCCAUCUAAAGCUAAAUAUUGGCGAGAGACCGAUAGCGAACAAGUACCGUGAGGGAAAGAUGAAAAGCACUUUGGAAAGAGAGUUAAACAGUAUGUGAAAUUGUUAAAAGGGAAACGAUUGAAGUCAGUCGUGCGUUGUGGACUCAGCCGGUUCUGCCGGUGUACUUCCACUUCGCGGGGUCAACAUCAGUUUUGCUCGGUGGAAAAAGGCAGGAGGAAGGUAGCACUCUCGGGUGAACUUAUAGCCUUCUGUCACAUACAUCGGGUGGGACUGAGGAACGCAGCAUGCCUUUUGGCCGGGGUUCGCCCACGUACAUGCUUAGGAUGUUGACAUAAUGGCUUUAAACGACCCGUCUUGAAACACGGACC